CGGCGGGCCCUGGCCGGCGCCCUCCCCGCCCCCGCGCGGCCCGCCGCCCGCCCCCCGCCGCGACCCCGGCCCGGCCUGUUCUCUGGCUCCUGCCGGGGCCGCUUCCGGCCCGAAGGCCCCUUUUAUAUUAAUAGUGUCAGUAACCGCAGGAAUGUUCCGUCCCGUGGCGUGCCUUCGGUCGCCUCGGCGCGUCUGCCUCUCCUGCCAGACCCCGCCUUGACCUUGACCUCUAAGCGCCCGGUCGGCGCACCCCCGGCCCUGUCGGCGCCGCCGGAGGUGCGAGUCGGCUCCGGCUCGAGCCACCGCGCGGGCCCGCAAGGGCUGCCCCCUGCCCCGCUCCACGGCGCCCGCCCGCGCGCCGCCCCCUUCUGGGUGACCUCGAUGCAGCCCUGGCCCGCCGCCCGUCGCCUGCCCCGCGGCUUCCCGCGGCCUUUCUGCCGGAAGGCCGCGUGGGUUGCAGCUCUCAGCUGUCAGGGCUUGUUUGUUGUGCCGCUGCGGGCCCGCUGUCCUGUCCUUUCUGUUCCAAACCAUUCUCUUAUUCCCUCAGAUCUGAUGCCCACGAUUAGUUAACUUCUUAACUACACCUGAAACUUUUCGUUUUUGCCAAGCACAGACGAACUUGGCUGUCCCAUCCCGACCUGAAUGUGAACCUCCCGUUCGAACAAAGGAAGGCGUCGUCCUCUGGAGACCCACCACACCUGCAUCUCUGCAAAAUCUCAUAAACUCAGCAUUUUUGCCUUUUUCUCUUGGGGACCUUGUCAGCAUCACUUCACCCCUGUAGACGUGUUUUCUCCAAGUACUUGCUACAUUUUGAGCUCCUUUGGAGCAGGGACUGGUUUAGGCUAAAUUUGAUUUCCCCUCAGCCGCCUUCCCCAAGCAGGCUUGCCAGUUUGGUUUAAUUAGGUGGCUACUGGUUUUGUCAGACUUCAUUUUGUUACCUAGAUCCAGGGCUUAUUUUUGGAAUCCUUGGUUUUUUUCUAACUUCCGCAGCUGUUCCUUUUUCUACCCCCCCCCCC